UAGAAAACACAUUUUUUUAUAUAGAUUUGUGUUUCAUGUAAGAGGCUGGAUAAAAUUUCACGUGUUUGAACUUUAUUCUAGAUUUUAAGAAACAGAUGUGACAGAGGAAAAAAAUCUUUCCACUGGGUUCAGUUGAUCUGCUGCUAUUUAUGAGUAAAUUUCAUCUCAUCGCUUCACAUGAACCUACUGUAUAUCGGUAUUAGUUUCUUUCUGUCAUAUCUACCAAGCUACAGUGAAAAACUUCUUCUGCAUACUGUUCCUACAGAUCAAAACCCUUACCCAAUGCUUUGAGUUAAAACAAGGUAAAAUAAUAACAAUGCAAAAGCUCCAGAGAAAAUACAGUGCAGGUAAACAAUGAAGUCUAAGAUCACAACGAGGUAGUCCAGAGUCCAUCAUAUUGUUCACAAUUCUGACAACAGUGGAAGUGGUACUUCAGAAUGUGGUAUAAGCUUUCAAGUUUUUAUACGUCUGGGGUGAAUGGAGUCUUUGAUUAUGCUGGCUGCCUGACUGAUAGAGUGAGAGGUACAGACCGAAUGCAUAGAGGGUAGGCUGGUUUCUGUGAUGUGCUGAGCUGUGUCUAUAUGGUUAAUGUCAUUGCAAACCACGGAAGCAAACAAUUAAGGUAAUCUUUGUUAAGACUGACAAUUGGUUGGCAACAACAAUAAAGUUCAAGUAUUUUGUCAAGUAUCUGGUUUUCUCUAACAAGAAAAUCUGCAGACACUGGAAAUCUGAGCAACACACAAAAUGCUGGAGGAGCUCGGCAGGCCAGGCAGCAUCUAUGGAAAAAAGUAUGGUCGAUGUUUCGAGCCAAAAUCUUUUGGCUGGUCGUUUGUGUUGCUCUGGUUUUCUCUGACCUCUUUAUCAAAGUUCAAAGUAAAUUUGUUAUCAAAGUACUUAUAUGUCACCAUCUACUAACCUGAGAUUCACUUUCUUGCAGACGAUCACAGCAAUUACAAAGAAACACAACAAGAUCAAAGAAAAACUGCAAAGAUGGAUAAACAUCCAACGAGCAAAAGACAACAAAUUGUGCAAAUCCAAAAAUAAAAAAUAAUUUAAAAGAAAGGUAAUAAAUAUUGAGAACAUGAGUUGUUGAGUCCUUGAAGGUGUGUGGAUCCCAGCUGAUAAAGGACAAAACGGACAAAAAUGAGAGAGUGAGAACAAGGCAGAAGAGGAUGCUGCCUGGCCUGCUGAGUUUCUCCAGCGUUUUAUGUCAUACCUGGACUUCUAAUUUUGGAUCGCCAGUCUUAAAUGCCACAGGUCCAGCCCUCAACAGACAACAAAUCUUUUGGUUCAUCCACGGCUUUUGGUUUGGCGGCUUGUUCUUCAAAGAAAACAAUCUGUGACAGGGGCAACGUGAUGCAACACUCCUGCAUUUAAAGAAAAAGAAGAAAUAAUUUAGUACCUAAACUUCAACAAUUCUUCAAUUUGGUUUAACAAUAUGCAGAGAUCUACUUUCCUUCAGCAAAAAAGGCUGCAAGAUUCUGGAAAAACUCAAAUAAAGAAUAAAAUCAGGAAGCUGAUCUUCCCACAUUUUUGAAAGUACUAUCUCUCUCUCUCUACCUGUCAACAUGCACUUUAGCAUUUCCUGUUUUUAUUUCAUUUUCCAGCAUUUUGAACUUGACUUCUCAGCAACAUUUUGAUUUUUAUAAAUGUAAAACUGAA